AUUGAACGCUGGCGGCAGGCCUAACACCUGCAAGUCGAGCGAGCGGCGGACGGGUGAGUAAUGUCUGGGAAACUGCCUGAUGGAGGGGGAUAACUACUGGAAACGGUAGCUAAUACCGCAUACCAUCAGAUGUGCCCAGAUGCGAUUAGCUAGUAGGUGGGGUACCGGCUCACCUAGGCGACGAUCCCUAGCUGGUCUGAGAGGAUGACCAGCCACACUGGAACUGAGACAAGGUCCAGACUCCUACGGGAGGCAACAGUGGGGAAUAUUGCACAAUGGGCGCAAGCCUGAUGCAGCCAGGCCGCGUGUAUGAAGAAGGCAUUCGGGUUGUAAAGUACUUUCAGCGGGGAGGCGUUACCCGCAGAAGAAGCACCGGCUAACUCCGUGCCAGCAGCCGCGGUAAUUC
rnacentral:rRNA from 1 species